GACGUAGGGCGCGAGCGUUGUCCGGAUUUAUUGGGCGUAAAGCGCACGUAGGCGGCUUUGUAAGUUAGAGGUGAAAGCCCGGGGCUCAACUCCGGAAUUGCCUUUAAGACUGCAUCGCUAGAAUUGUGGAGAGGUAAGUGGAAUUCCGAGUGUAGAGGUGAAAUUCGUAGAUAUUCGGAAGAACACCAGUGGCGAAGGCGACUUACUGGACACAUAUUGACGCUGAGGUGCGAAAGCGUGGGGAGCAAACAGG
rnacentral:rRNA from 1 species